rnacentral:sRNA from 1 species
GCUGGGUGUGGUAGCACAUGCCUGUAAUCCCAGCAGCUUGGGAAGCUGAGGCAGGAGUAUUGCAGGUUCAAAGUUAACCUCAGCAAUGGCAAGGUGCUAAACAACUCAGUGAGACCCUGUCUCUA